rnacentral:rRNA from 1 species
GAUGAACGCUGGCGGCGUGCCUAAUACAUGCAAGUCGAGCGAACAGACGAGGAGCUUGCUCCUCUGACGUUAGCGGCGGACGGGUGAGUAACACGUGGAUAACCUACCAAUAAGACUGGGAUAACUUCGGGAAACCGGAGCUAAUACCGGAUAAUAUAUUGAACCGCAUGGUUCAAUAGUGAAAGACGGUUUUGCUGUCACUUAUAGAUGGAUCCGCGCCGCAUUAGCUAGUUGGUAAGGUAACGGCUUACCAAGGCAACGAUGCGUAGCCGACCUGAGAGGGUGAUCGGCCACACUGGAACUGAGACACGGUCCAGACUCCUACGGGAGGCAGCAGUAGGGAAUCUUCCGCAAUGGGCGAAAGCCUGACGGAGCAACGCCGCGUGAGUGAUGAAGGUCUUCGGAUCGUAAAACUCUGUUAUUAGGGAAGAACAAAUGUGUAAGUAACUAUGCACGUCUUGACGGUACCUAAGCAGAAAGCCACGGCUAACUACGU